UACUGAAUUAGAUGUUGACUCUACGGUAAACGAAGUGGAAGCCACUUGCCGUUAGAUGAAACACAUGUAAGCAAUUUCCUAAUUAACAGAAUAAAGGGACAUACAACUCGACUUUAUAGUCCUACACUUGUCAUGUCUAAUAGGUGAAUUCUGCUGCCUGCAACCGUGAAAUAGCAACUGGGGUACAGCUAACCACUACUUCUGCAAGGCCAGUGAGGGAUCGCCGCCCUAACAGGAAAUAUGAAGAUGGUUUAUCCAAAGAUCAAACAUUUGGCAGGACAUGUAACAAAAAAACUGGCUCCAAAGCACAAGGCACCACAAAGGUUAAGAGGGGUAAAUCACUAAUUGUAUUAUCGGAUAUUGAAGAUGUCACCACCUUAAACAAACCAGAAGGAGAAGAGGAAGUGAAAGAAGACAAUGACUUGCCAUCACAGACAGAGACUGCUUCCGAGGAUUCCGAAAGUCCUUGCAAAACACUAAGAAAACACCAACCUACCAGGGGAUUUGGAAUUUGG